rnacentral:rRNA from 1 species
CCUACGGGAGGCAGCAGUAAGGAAUAUUGCGCAAUGGGCGAGAGCCUGACGCAGCGACGCCGCGUGGGGGAUGAAGGUCUUCGGAUUGUAAACCCCUUUCGGGAGGGAAGAUGGAACGAGCAAUCGUUCGGACGGUACCUCCAGAAGCAGCCACGGCCAACUUCGUGCCAGCAGCCGCGGUAAU